GGGAGGGAGGCAGAGAGGGACACACGGGCUGCAUCAUGUGACGACUUCUUUCAUCACAGCAACGAGCAGCUCCUCAGUGUUCGUGCAGAGACCGGAAGCAGAAGCUUUCUGAGCUCAGGAUCACGGUGGGUCGCACACGUUGGGUUUGGAAAAUGGAGUCUCGCUCGGAGGACGUGGAUUUCUCUGUGAUGAUAGUGCUUCGGGAUUCGGACCCUGUCAUCCUCACAUCAAAUCGGUGCUCAUGUGUAGCUGGCACUGCAAUGUGUAACCACACCGUUGCUUUGCUGUGUGAAUGUGCAGGUUGUGCCACCUGUCCACACCUGCACUGAGACAGAGCAGCAAUGGCACAAGCCCAGAACCGCGGGAGUGAAACCUGGGCCAAUAAACAGAACGGUCAUCAGCAAACCAAGACUGAACCGACUCACGGAAGGAGGAGUCAGGAGUACACUCUACAAGGGCUUGGUUGGGGACCCACUAGACCUCUCUUUGCUACUGAUGGAAGACACGUUCAAAGACUUUAGCAUUAUUGAAAAACCUCUAGCAGCAACUAUGGGAAUCAGUGACGAGAAGACCCUCGUUGAGACAGCUUUUGGCUUAGCACAAAGGGGGAGUGUGCUCUCAUACCAGCAGCCUGUAUUGCCCACAAAGUCAGUCAAGAUGCACCAGGAUCCUCCACCUUACCCACCGCUGCCUAUUGGGGAGUACGGGCUUGCCCCAAACAGACUGUGUGCAUGUGUGCACUGAAGAGGAGCACUUUCACUUUAAAAGCUUGAAUGUUACACUGGACAAGGCCUAUAAGAUUGAGGCAGCGACAAGAGAGCAGGCAGCAGACCAGGAGUGGCAUCAGCUCCUCACGUUUUAGAGAGGUGUGUUAGAGUCUGCAGAGUCUCUUGCAGAAAGAAUCCUCAAAGGAACAAGGCAGACUGCUGAGAUGAGAAGAGGAGCAGACAUGGAGUUUGAGGUGGCAAGGGAGUACUGCCAGAUGAAAAAUGUCAACCACACACCCUGCGGCCUCGUCAUCCACCCAGAUGCCCCUUGGCUUGGUGCCUCGCCAGAUGGCUUGAUUUUUGAUCCAUUGGCACAGCCACCAUUUGAACUGGUUGAGAUAAAGUGCCCUAAUGUGAAGAACUAUGUGGACUGUAAAUACCUUAAAAUGCAGGAUGGCUCUUCGUAAAAGCCAGUCUUACUUCUGGCAGGUGCAGGGUCAACUGUUGAUCACUGGCCUGCAAUGGUGUGACACUGUGAUUUGUGCUCAGGAAGACAUGCUGGUGCAGCGUAUCCAGGUUGACCCAGAGGUAAAAGCAGUCAUCAGAGAGAGGGUGGACCAGUUUUACUUUAAAGUGUACAUGCAGAAGUACUUGUCUGUCUCCAAAAGAUCUUACUGAUCGAUGCAGGAUAAUUCAGGUGGGGGCCUUUGUAUGAAGCAGGAGUACAGUUCUUUUUUUCACAGUUCACGUUUGUCAUUUACAUCUAGAAAUGAAACCAUAACUAUUUUUGAGGGGCUCUUACAGGCAAUUUCAAUGUUUCAUGCAUCACUGUUGGAUGUUCUUUAGGUCAGCCAAACUCUUUAUCGCCAAAGAAGCAAUAUUUGCAUCAAAAAGUUACACCAUAAUUGUUAUAUAAAUACAGCGUAUUUAGCAAUAAACACAAAGGAGAGAAAAAAGGGUUUUUUAAUUUUUUUUUAUUUGUAACAAAAAUAAUUAAAUCAUUCCAUAUACAGUGGUGACUAUAACAGAUGUUUUCAGAUUUCAUAUACAAUAUUUUACUGUAUGCAUGGUUUGAUUUCAUACAUUUUACUACAAGAGACAGAGAGGAGGACAAUUAAUGAACAGUUGGCACUUUGACAAAUUAAAUCACUCAGUCAAACAUAAAAUAACCUGUAUUGCUACAUAAACAUGUAAAACAUAUGUCAAAUCUA